CGCGUUGAAAAAAUAAUAGGGUCGGCAGAAAAAAAUAGGGUCGGUCGGGAACUGGAACCACAGGUAUUUUUUUUACGCCCUAUUUUUUUCUGCCGACCCUAUUAUUUUUUC
rnacentral:miRNA from 1 species